CAUCACUCCCUGAAACUAAAAUAUCUGGACGAGAGAGACGGUGAACAGGACUGUCAUCACCAGGCUACUGAGAGCACCCCCUGUCUGUGACUCUGAGUUCCCGGCCGACUUCCAGCCAUGAAGAUCCUUUACCUGCUCUCUGCUGUUGUCUUCUUGGUGCUCCUGACUGCCCCAGGAUUCUCCCAGGCUAGAAUUUCCCGAAGUAAAUGUAGACGCCGUGGUGGUUCCUGUUACUUUAGGAGAUGUCCCUCUAAUUCUAUAUACAUUACAAGAUGCUGGAUUGGCUCUUGCUGUCAAAGGCAAUUUAUCAACUGAUUGUCUAGGCAGGAUCUCUGGGAAUCUGGCAGCCAGCCACUUGCUUCUAAAAUCAUCAGAUCCUGCUUCAGCGGAACCCUGGAGUGCUGCUUAUUUAGGCUGUAAAGAACCUUGUGAGCUGGAGAAAUUCCAGAAAGGAGCCCUUGUAUCACCAUAUCGUAUUUUUUACUCUUCUUUUAAUAAAAGCAAGCUGGCUUA